AUUGAACGCUGGCGGCAUGCCUAACACAUGCAAGUCGAACGGCAGCACGGGAGCUUGCUCCUGGUGGCGAGUGGCGGACGGGUGAGUAAUGCAUAGGAAUCUGCCCAGUAGCGGGGGACAACUUGGGGAAACUCAAGCUAAUACCGCAUGCGCCCUACGGGGGAAAGCGGGGGACCUUCGGGCCUCGCACUAUUGGAUGAGCCUAUGUCAGAUUAGCUUGUUGGUGGGGUAACGGCCUACCAAGGCGACGAUCUGUAGCUGGUCUGAGAGGACGAUCAGCCACACUGGGACUGAGACACGGCCCAGACUCCUACGGGAGGCAGCAGUGGGGAAUAUUGCACAAUGGGCGAAAGCCUGAUGCAGCAAUGCCGCGUGUGUGAAGAAGGCCUGCGGGUUGUAAAGCACUUUCAGUAGGGAGGAAACAGUAGCCGGUUAAUAUCCGGUUGCCUUGACGUUACCUACAGAAGAAGCACCGGCUAACUACGUG
rnacentral:rRNA from 1 species